GAUGAACGCUGGCGGCGUGCCUAAUACAUGCAAGUCGAGCGAACAGACGAGGAGCUUGCUCCUCUGACGUUAGCGGCGGACGGGUUAGUAACACGUGGAUAACCUACCUAUAAGACUGGGAUCACUUCGGGAAACCGGAGCUAAUACCGGAUAAUAUAUUGAACCGCAUGGUUCAAUAGUGAAAUACGGUUUUGCUCUCACUUAUAGAUGGAUCCGCGCCGCAUUAUCUAGUUGGUAAGGUAACGGCUUACCAAGGCAACGAUGCGUAGCCGACCUGAGAGGGUGAUCGGCCACACUGGAACUGAGACACGGUCCAGACUCCUACGGGAGGCAGCAGUAGGGAAUCUUCCGCAAUGGGCGAAAGCCUGACGGAGCAACGCCGCGUGAGUGAUGAAGGUCUUCGGAUCGUAAAACUCUGUUAUUAGGGAAGAACAAAUGUGUAAGUAACUAUGCACGUCUUGACGGUACCUAAUCAGAAAGCCACGGCUAACUACGUG
rnacentral:rRNA from 1 species